AUUGAACGCUGGCGGCAGGCUUAACACAUGCAAGUCGAGCGGGGGAAGGUAGCUUGCUACCGGACCUAGCGGCGGACGGGUGAGUAAUGCUUAGGAAUCUGCCUAUUAGUGGGGGACAACAUCUCGAAAGGGAUGCUAAUACCGCAUACGUCCUACGGGAGAAAGCAGGGGAUCUUCGGACCUUGCGCUAAUAGAUGAGCCUAAGUCGGAUUAGCUAGUUGGUGGGGUAAAGGCCUACCAAGGCGACGAUCUGUAGCGGGUCUGAGAGGAUGAUCCGCCACACUGGGACGGAGACACGGCCCAGACUCCUACGGGAGGUAGCAGUGGGGAAUAUUGGACAAUGGGGGGAACCCUGAUCCAGCCAUGCCGCGUGUGUGAAGAAGGCCUUAUGGUUGUAAAGCACUUUAAGCGAGGAGGAGGCUACUCUAGUUAAUACCUAGGGAUAGUGGACGUUACUCGCAGAAUAAGCACCGGCUAACUCUGUGCCAGCCGCCGCAGUAA
rnacentral:rRNA from 1 species